GCCUGGGUGGCUCAGUGGUUGAGCAUCUGCCUUUGGCUCAGGUCAUUAUCCCAGGGUCCUGGGAUCGAGUCCCACAUCAGGCU
rnacentral:tRNA from 1 species